rnacentral:rRNA from 1 species
UCCUGAUGGCUCACAUGAAGUUUCGUGCCGUUCCGACCUCGUUUGAUACGGUUAUGGUUAACCACACGGCCCCUCGGGCCCGACCCGAGCCCAGUCAACGUUUUGACCCGAUCAAAUCGGCCCGUGACCCGAAACGACCCUACUUGGGCCCUACAACAGCCACGUAAAGUUUCGGGAUGAUCCGACGUUCUUUCAUGGGGUUACGGACAAUCCACGCCAAACAAGCGUCACGGGCCGACCGAGCCGGGCCAACGGGCCCUCGGGACCCGAAAACUGAAUUUUUUUUCAUCCAAACCCAUUAAAACACGUUACCGAGGUCUCACGCAAAAUUUCAUGCCAAUCCGACGUCGUUUGAUGGGGUUUUGAGAUAUUAUGAUUCCUCAAAAAUUUAAUGUCUGUUCCUGUCACUUAGCUUUUUGUGCAAAAUGUAUAUAUAGGGGAGGGGUGGGUGUUGAGCAGCCCAUGCCCGGGCAAGGCAUGCCAGCGCCCAAGCCAAAGGAGGCUGGUGGCGUGCGUAUAACAGCUCAAAUGCCCCAACGAUGACCGAGAACAAGCGCCCAUCUCCCCUCCUUCCCCCCCACCAAGCGCCCCUCCCCCCCCAUGUUGCCUGCCCACUCGCACAGCUACUCGUGAUUUCAUGCCCAGCGACUAGUGAAUGUGCCUCGACGACCAGCAAACCUCGAAAAUUAUGAUUCCUCGUAAAAUUAAUGUCUGUUCCUGUCACUUUACUUUUUGUGCAAAAUGUAUAUAUAGGGGAGACCAGGGGCUUGAGCAACCCCUGUGCCCAAGCAAGGGUCAGAUGGAAGCACACGAGACGCGAGGUUUAAAGCCUAUACAAGCAAGGCGUCUGUCUCCCCAAGCCCCAUUGCCUAUAAAACAAGCCCGAUGCCUUGUAAAUGCCCCACACGAUGCCUAUAAACGACAACGAUGUUUGCUAGUUAAUCGAUCGACGCCCCACACCUUGCAGCAUGUUGCCUAGUAAACAAGCCAUGCUGCCUUGGAAGCGCCCCACAUCAUGGCAUGUUGCCUAGCACGCUGCCCUUGUUUCCAGCACGGCGACCUGAAAGCGUGGCCUGACGACGUGCUUGCCUUCGAAAAUUAUGAUUCCUCAAAAAAUUAAUGUCUGUUCCUGUCACUUUACUUUUUGU